rnacentral:rRNA from 1 species
AUUGAACGCUGGCGGCAUGCCUUACACAUGCAAGUCGGACGGCAGCACGGGAGCAAUCCUGGUGGCGAGUGGCGAACGGGUGAGUAAUAUAUCGGAACGUGCCCAGUCGUGGGGGAUAACGUAGCGAAAGCUACGCUAAUACCGCAUACGAUCUAUGGAUGAAAGCGGGGGAUCGCAAGACCUCGCGCGAUUGGAGCGGCCGAUAUCAGAUUAGGUAGUUGGUGGGGUAAAGGCCCACCAAGCCGACGAUCUGUAGCUGGUCUGAGAGGACGACGAGCCAGACUGGGACUGGGGCACGGCCCAGACUCCUACGGGAGGCAGCAGUGGGGAAUUUUGGACAAUGGGCGCAAGCCUGAUCCAGCCAUUCCGCGUGCAGGAUGAAGGCCUUCGGGUUGUAAACUGCUUUUGUACGGAGCGAAAAGGCUCUCUCUAAUACAGGGGGCUCAUGACGGUACCGUAAGAAUAAGCACCGGCUAACUACGUGCCAGCCGCCGCGGUAAUAC